UACGGAGGGUGCAAGCGUUAUCCGGAUUCACUGGGUUUAAAGGGUGCGUAGGCGGGUAGGUAAGUCAGUGGUGAAAUCUCGAAGCUUAACUUCGAAACUGCCAUUGAUACUAUCUAUCUUGAAUAUUGUGGAAGUUUGCGGAAUAUGUCAUGUAGCGGUGAAAUGCUUAGAUAUGACAUAGAACACCUAUUGCGAAGGCAGCAGGCUACACAUAUAUUGACGCUGAGGCACGAAAGCGUGGGAUCAAACAGG
rnacentral:rRNA from 1 species